CCAUGUGAAGAUAAUGAGCUGAAGACCAUUCUUUGUUUCUUGGCAUUCUCAGGCGCUUAGUCUCCAAGGAUUUCGAAGUUGGCAUGCUCUAAAUUUGUAAUAAAAUACCCUUCUAAUUGUUAGUCUUGGAAACCAGGAUCCAGUCAUCUUGCAGCCCAGAAGAGGAACCAGGUCUACAGGAAACCAUGGAAUCCUAGCUUUCAUUGAUUUCUUACUGAUUUUCAAAUGAAAAGAAAAUAAAAAUGUCAGAAUUUCCUGGAGGACACACGCUUAAAUCAGCAACAGUGCUGGAGAAAAGCUGUUCCAGUAAGACGUUUGGCUUUGUGGGAGGAAUCUUCCCUGCAUUAGUAGAACAAGGCCAUAUAUUUCACAUGGGUAGCUGUUCAGAAUGUCCUAUGACAUGUCCAACAACAACUUUGUCCUACAAGCACUCUUCUUGGAAAUUCAGAAGUGGCAACAAGAUCCAAAUAGAUGGGAUGCUUGAACUUUCCCUCCAAAGACAGGCGGUGUUCAUCCUCAAUACACAGGCCAGCGUGCCCAUGAUUACCUGUUUUCUGAAUAAAGAGCUGUUCAGCUUCAGUGAUAUUAAUCUGACAGUGUUUUAUAAUUUGUUCCCAAUUUAGAUUUGUAAUAAAUCUAAAAAAAAUUUGUUUAAUUUGGACCUGGUUCCCAACCAAAAUUUUACCAAUCCUGUGUACAAUUACUAUUUUUUGUCACCUGUAGUCUGUUAAUUUCUAAACAAAUAACAUUUAGAAACACUGGAAAUUCCUAUGUCAGAUUUUAGAACUGCUUUUGACACUCAGAAAUUGAAAAGGUUUCUCACGUCAUUGAAACACCAACAUUUGGCAGAAAUUGUAAGGGGUACAAUGCCCUCACAGUGGCACACUGUGACACACUGCCAGAGUAGUAAAUCUUGAAUUAUAAUUGCUAUGACAAUGCAGCUGAAGAAAACACAAUGAUUACUUAUGAGGUAAAAUAAAUGUCUCUACCUCUCAUGGAAAAGUCUACCUCUGAUGAAAGCUACUUUUUACAUUAAAAAAAAUGUGCUUGAAAUUUGCAUGCAAUUCUAUUCAAAUUAAUAUGGCUUGACA